rnacentral:rRNA from 1 species
ACUCCUACGGGAGGCAGCAGUGGGGAAUAUUGCACAAUGGGCGAAAGCCUGAUCCAGCCAUGCCGCGUGCAGGAUGAAGGCCUUCGGGUUGUAAACUGCUUUUGUACGGAACGAAAAGACUCUGGUUAAUACCUGGGGUCCAUGACGGUACCGUAAGAAUAAGCACCGGCUAACUACGUGCCAGCAGCCGCGGUAAUACGUAGGGUGCAAGCGUUAAUCGGAAUUACUGGGCGUAAAGCGUGCGCAGGCGGUUAUAUAAGACAGAUGUGAAAUCCCCGGGCUCAACCUGGGAACUGCAUUUGUGACUGUAUAGCUAGAGUACGGCAGAGGGGAUGGAAUUCCGCGUGUAGCAGUGAAAUGCGUAGAUAUGCGGAGGAACACCGAUGGCGAAGGCAAUCCCCUGGGCCUGUACUGACGCUCAUGCACGAAAGCGUGGGGAGCAAACAGGAUUAGAUACCCUGGUAGACUGU